rnacentral:lncRNA from 1 species
CUAAGUGUACUUAAAAUACUAUGCAACCAUUACCAUCACUGGUCUCCAUAACCUUUUCAUCAUUCCAAAUAGAAACUUGAUACUCUUUAAUAAUAAAACUCCCCAUUUCUCUCUUCCCCUGCCCCCUACAAUCUCUAUUCUACUACCUGUCUCUACUCUAGGUACCUAAUAUAAGUGGAAUCAUACAGUAGUUGUCCUUUUAUGUCUGGCUUAUUUCACUUCGCAUGUUUUUCAAGGUUCAUCCAUGUUGGAGAAUGUGUCAGUACUUCAUUCAUUUCUAUGGGUGAAUAAUACUCCAUUUAGUGGAUGUUACCACACUUUGCUUAUCCAUUCACCUGGAGAUUGAUAUUUGGAUUGUUUACAUUGUUUGGGCAUUGUGAAUAAUGCUGCUGUGGACACUGGUGUACAAGUAUCCAUCUGCUUUCAUAUUUGGGGCAUAUACUCAGAAGUGAGUUAUAAUGGAUCAUAAUCUAUGUUUAAAUUUUUGAGGAACUUCCAAAUUUUCUACAAUGGCUGCACCAUUUUGCUCUCCCACCAGCAAUGCAUAAGGGUUUCAAUUUUCCCACCUCUUGAAAUUCAAUACAUAUUUUCCAUUAAAAAAAAAGUAAUAGCCAUUCUAAUGUGUAUGGAGUGGUGCACCACUGUGGCUUUGAUUAAUGCUGAACAUCUUUACAUGUCCUUAUUAGCCAUCUGUAUAUCUUCUUGAAAGGAAUGUCUCUUCAAGUCCUUUGCCUAUUUUUAAAGUGGGUGGCUUUUUGUUGUUGAAUUUACACAACUGAUUUUUAACAAAGGCUCAAAAGCAAUUCAGCUGAGGAAAGAUACUUUUCAACAAAUAGUGCUGAAGCAACUGGACAUCCAUAGGUUAAAAAAAAAAAAAAAAGAAUCUCAACCUAAACCUCACAUCUGACAUAAAAAUUAUGUCAAAAUAAAUCAUGAACAUAAGACUAAUGCUUUUAGAAAAUCAUAAGGGGAAAUCUUUGGGACCCAUGCAAGCAUUGCAGGAGGGGGGACCCCUUCCAGGGCCCAAAACUGGGCUCUUGUCUAACACUUGGAA